rnacentral:rRNA from 1 species
GUAGGUGGCAGGCGUUGUCCGGAAUUAUUGGGCGUAAAGCGCGCGCAGGCGGUUCUUUAAGUCUGAUGUGAAAGCCCACGGCUCAACCGUGGAGGGUCAUUGGAAACUGGAGAACUUGAGUACAGAAGAGGAAAGCGGAAUUCCACGUGUAGCGGUGAAAUGCGUAGAGAUGUGGAGGAACACCAGUGGCGAAGGCGGCUUUCUGGUCUGUAACUGACGCUGAGGCGCGAAAGCGUGGGGAGCAAACAGGAUUAGAUACCCUGGUAGUCCACGCCGUAAACGAUGAGUGCUAAGUGUUAGGGGGGUUUCCGCCCCCCUUAGUGCUGCAGCUAACGCAUUAAGCACUCCGCCUGGGAGUACGGCCGCAAGGCUG